rnacentral:rRNA from 1 species
AUUGAACGCUGGCGGCGUGCUUAACACAUGCAAGUCGAGCGGUAACAGGCGUAGCAAUACGUGCUGACGAGCGGCGAACGGGUGAGUAAUGCUUCGGAAUCUUCCUCGUAGUGGGGAAUAACCUGGGGAAACUCAGGCUAAUACCGCAUACGAACUACGGUUGAAAGCAGGGGAUCGCAAGACCUUGCGCUAUGAGAUGAGCCGAAGUCGGAUUAGCUAGUUGGUGGGGUAACGGCCCACCAAGGCGACGAUCCGUAGCUGGUCUGAGAGGACGACCAGCCACACUGGGACUGAGACACGGCCCAGACUCCUACGGGAGGCAGCAGUGGGGAAUAUUGGACAAUGGGCGAAAGCCUGAUCCAGCGACGCCGCGUGUGUGAAGAAGGCCUGCGGGUUGUAAAGCACUUUUAGUGGGGAUGAAAAGCCGAAGGCUAAUACCUUUCGGUCUUGACCUAACCCAAAGGAAAAGCACCGGCUAACUCUGUGCCAGCAGCCGCGGUAAUACAGAGGGUGCAAGCGUUAAUCGGAAUUACUGGGCGUAAAGCGUGCGUAGUCGGUUAUUCAAGUCGGGUGUGAAAGCCCCGGGCUCAACCUGGGAAUUGCAUUCGAUACUGUUUAGC